AUGAUUAGUGUACAAUUGAAUCGGGGCAUCAGACCGUAUUUUAUUUUUAUCGACGCCUCUACCUCUAAACAUGAGGACAUAUUUAUUGUUAUCGGCUUUCGCUUGGGGGAGUUGAUACGUCCAUUUUGCAUCAUGCUUUUAUAUCAAUAUUUAUUGCAUUAUGGGCAGUUAUUUCACUUUAUGUCACAAUACUUAUGGCUAUUCUCUCUUAUUUUACAGGGUUUACAUAAGAAGGGAGAAUGCCGGCAGCUGGAAUUCUGGGCUAGAAAAGGAUCAAAUAUUAGAGACCUAUUCUGCGCAACUCCAAAAGUCCUGAAACUCCAUGGAAUAUCUUAA
rnacentral:rRNA from 1 species